rnacentral:tRNA from 1 species
GUUGCUUUGGCAGAUUUUAUGUACUGGACUUAGGAUCCUGUUAAAUAGAUUUAUAUCUAUAAGUAACU